UCAGCCCAGAGUGGUCGGAAAUGUCUAACGCGUGGUUAAAGCUCCGCUUUAAAACCUACGAAAAAUAAUGAUCGGUGCUUACCUUAAAUAGGAACCGACAUGGCAGGUACGGUUCGUGUUGCCGUGCCCCGAAUAUCUGCAAACAGAACGCAAAAGAUCAACAUCGCGAAUAAAUAGAGAAGUACACAGACUACGAGAAUCUGGAAAAUGUCAAGCGAGGUAGCAAAUUGACUUUCGCGAAGCUGAAAUUGCUACGAAACCAGGUCGUUUCAGCGCCUAGUUCCUUUAAAAUUUCCAAGCUACGAAAACUGUCCGAGUAUAACGAUACUUUUACAUGAAAACGAAUCUAAACGAAUACAAACGUAAUUAAAAAAACCAGGAGCGAGUGAAUAUUACCAUCAGGCACCCAAAAGAUUCUAUCCGCUGCUGGUUACAGUAUGGAUUCCCAGAUCCUCAAUAAGAAGCGAGUUACACAGCGAACAAGAAUCUUCUUCAACGUGAUAUUUCACCGUGCCUCUACGUAACAACGUCUUCGAGUAGCGACCACUUUCAAACGGACAGAAUUAACGCAUCCAGUUGACAACAACGUCAAGAGGGAACAACAUGGCAGCAAGUAAUAAUAAUUGGCGGAAGCGAAGAGACAGAGAGGAGAAUUUGAAAGCCGACGCCCAACGUUAAUCCCGUUUCAGUGGAAAGAAAGGCGCAUCGGGAAAUGAGAAAAGUCGGGAGAGGAAGCAAUUGCGACUGGUUUUUCGCGGUAUUCGUGAUUAUUCGGUGGAAAGGAACAAAAGAAGAGGCAAUACCGGCGGAUGAUGCGCCAUGGCACAAGGCCCGUGUGCCAUUCGUUUCUCCGUGCCUGUGCAUCGUUCCUCUUGUUGCGCUAGAACGGUUGACAUAUUUCUUUUAGCGGUACAGAGAGACGAGAAGAGAAGCCUAGCAGACGUUUCUCCUCCAUUCUUCUUCUAUUCCUUUGGCCUAGCAACGCCAGUCAUUACCAACGCCGCCAUCAACCACACGCUGUCAUUGUCUGGACGCACUUUGUCGAUGCACGCGACAACGCUCGUUUGAAACGCGACUUUAAUUGCGUAACACCCGGCCGUCUGUCCGUUUUCACAGCGAAACGAAUUAAGACAACGAUCACGUGUACCCCAUCGUUCACCGAGAACAGUUUUCAUGCCAUUCGUGACGCUCUGAAAUAGUUCAUCUCUGUCCGAGGCAAAUUGGAAAGCAAAGGAACGAACUUGUUGCGCUUUGUUUCAUUUUACAGUGGAUUUGUCGAGACUGCUUUAUAGAAAACGAUAAAAGAUAAUGCGAUGCAUCGAUCGCUUGCAAUAAAAAAGACAUCGCGUAAUAUAUGUACUUGGCAAUACUCGUGCGCGUAUUUAUAAUUCAACUUCUGAUAUUCUCGGGUAUUUAUUUUAUAUGUGUAUAUAUGUGUGUAUGAAAAUAUAGUAAUAUAGGUAUAAUCGCACUGUAGCACGUUCAUUAUUUUAUAAAACGUUCGUUCUUUUAGGGAAACCGAUGCAGAACGAAAAACAGAAAGUAAUUAUUAUACGAAUGUGCAUUGAGAGCCGUGUGACCCAGAAAUACAAAUAUUAAAUCAAAGUUGAAAAACCACUUACUAAUUGACGACUAAAGUGUAAAACACGUGCCGGAGAGAUUAAAGCGAACAAUAUGCUAAAAAGAAUAUGUAUGGUAUAAAGAAAAUGAAAACCAGUUUUUGUUCAUAUACCUCGUAAAAGACCAUUUUAAAAAAUUCUUAAAAAUACAUCGUGGCGAAUGUAGGAAAUUUCCAAGAAGAAUUAUAAAUCGGUCACUUUGACUACUCUGUUAGUUCUAACAAUAUCAGGUUCAUUUACCGCGAAACCCUAACUGCUCGUUCGCGUUCAACGAUAUUUCACGAGGGCGCUCACGCCCCUUCUUCCACUUCAGCUUGCUUGGACGUUUUCAGAGAUUUACAGAAACGCAUGGCGUCGAUUCGGACGAACGUGAGUCACCGCCUCGAUGCAGCGUGCAUACGCAUCUUGGAAAGAAAGAGUCAUUUAGGAAAUUGACCGACAGAUCGAUAAGUAAGACGAUCUCUAGGGAGCAACGAGGAAGGGCGUACUCGUGAUAACAGCAAAUUAAAUUAAAGACCGGUCUAUCGCAGUGUUGCGAUACCAGCAUCGAACCAGCUUACGAAUUUCCAGUCCAUAUUGGCUAAGAUUAAAUUUCUUUGUAAAAUACUGUGUGAAAUACUGCCAAAACUCUUCUUCUCUUCGCUCCACUAUCAGAAUCUGUAUACGUCGAGAUACAAACUUGGCUCAAAUUAUUUUAUCCUUGUACAAAGAAGCUAAAUUAUUAGCUACAACGUUUUUCCUAAUAAUCCAUUGGCAAUAUUUUUUAACGAUUUAGACGAAGAUUGAAAUUAUUUUGUUAAAUUACGUAUCUUAUCUCGACAAUUAGUUGCUACGGAUUUUGUGCUCGAAUUUAAAGAAGGCCAAGCUGCGUGAUCGAAAUUCACGUCUGUAGAUCAAAUCUGACCACCUGCCUCUAAAACUCGACAUAACAUGUACGUGCAUAUUUACACCUUGCAACGAAGAAUCGUAUUUCAACCUGCAUCCAGCAUACUCCUCGCUCUUAUUUAUUUUUACAAGCUUCGUUUAUUUUUACGAAUAAACAGCUGAUCUGUAAAAAUUGUAUUUGUCUUCCUUCGGCUCGUUACAAUACGAAAAAUACCAAUCCUUGAACAAAGCAUCCAUUUAUCUUUCGAUCUGACAAUUCAAAUAUCUUAGAUCUUCCCUUGAGAUUCGAGGUUCGACCGUGCUUACAAGUAGAUGUCGAAUUGUUUGAGUAUCGUUAAUACCUCUUGACACGAGGUACGUUGACCUCCGAUCGAAUAACACGCGGCCAAGAAUUAUCUUCGGAUUAUUCCCGGCAAACGAAACGAGUAACGCAGCGUAGCCCGCUGCGAAGUCGAAAUAAAUUUGACCUGUCAGAAAUUCGAAGAACGUUCCAUCGACGAACGGUUAGAUAAUAGAGGGAGACACCGAAUCGGAUAAUCGAAAUUUAUCGUUGGAGUGUAGGUACCGGAAACGCUAGUAUCCGAAUGAUCGCGUCUUUAGCGAUGCUAGACACGGCUCAAAAGUCUCAGGCGAUGGUCUCUUUUCAAAUCGAAUUCAAGCAUUCGAUGGACCGCCCACGUACCAGUCUCGAGGACCACGAUUUUAUGUAAAUCGCUGUGCCACCCACGAUCCAACGAAUCCCGACAGAUUCAACGAGAGCUCGAGGCACCGUCUUUUGAAAUCUAAACGAAUAAAGACUACAGAAGAAGAAUAUGUACGUGAUAAAUCACAUUUUCUACAUCUUAGGAAAAAAGCAAUUUUAAAGCUCGGUAGUACGUUGGGUAUCGAUCAACGUCAUCGUUAUUAAAAUUAUCUUUUCACGCUUUACAUCGUCGAGUUCAUCUAAAUUUCAUUUAUCAGUACAUAGAGAUUAUUUUAUACCGCGUUCGAAGAAUCUUCCGAUUUCGAAAUUGAUAAGUUUUGUCUAAAUCGUCGUGCGAUGUUCGAAUCGAAUCGAUAAGAUCGUUGGAACUUUCUUACAAAUUGAGCGUCUUCUUAAAGAUGCCGUAUCGACCGUAUCAGAGGUCAAACUAAUUAAAAGUUGCAGGCCGAGUCGAGGGAGAGAGUUCGCUUCUGGAACGGUUCACUCGCGAAUAAAGGAAACGGCCAGUCGGCCCGUGAGUCACGUUUAUUGUUCAUCGUUUAGCAACCCACGACGCCUUUCUCCGUUUGAAUUAACGGCUCCCCGGCUUUUCGUUGUCCGUAAAGGAAAUGAACAGCCACUUGUGCAAACGUUACACACGUUCUGCAAACGUGCUGCUUGCAUUAAUAUUUGGAGAGGAAACGUUCCAAUCUUCUUCUCAUAGAAACUAAACAAUUUCUGGUGGGUUUAACGCGGAGAGAAAGACCCUGCUUUGCACGUUUUUUGCAUUUACAGCUUCUUAUAAGUUAUCAUAACGCAGAUUCCAAAAUCACGAUAGAUAUGAUAAUUCAGUGCGAUCAAUUUUGGAAUGUUAGCUUAUUUCCUGGCUACCGAAACCCUGUAACAUACCUUCGAAAA